ANGUAUGUUCAUCCGAGUACGCAUAAUUCCGCCUGGAGUCGGUCCAAAUUAAACCAAAGAAUUNCGGGGCCCGCNCAACGGUGANNNUGUGUUUAUUUGACGCAACGCGCAGACCUUACNUGUCUUACAUCCCGAGAUCCNUAAGAAAUUAGGGAGGCCUCUUGAGAGUCGGUGACAGGUGCUGCAUGGCUGUGUCAGCUCGUGUCGUGAGAUGUUGGGUUAAGUCCCGCAACGAGCGCAACCCUUGUCUUUAGUUGCCAUCAUUAAGUUGGGCACUCUAAAGAGGCUGCCGGUGUCAAACCGGAGGAAGGUGGGGAUGACGUCAAGUCCUCAUGGCCUUUAUGACCAGGGCUACACACGUACUACAAUGGCAUAGACAAAGGGCAGCGACAUCGCGAGGUGAAGCGAAUCCCGUAAACUAUGUCCCAGUCCGGAUUGGAGUCUGCAACUCGACUCCAUGAAGUUGGAAUCGNUAGUAAUCGUGGAUCAGCAUGCCACGGUGAAUNCGUUCCUGUAANACGNCGGCCNAGUGAAUUGUAAUACGACUCGACUAUAGGGCGNAUUGAAUNNAGCGGCCGCGAAUUCGCCNUUCCUGACGCAGCGA
rnacentral:rRNA from 1 species